rnacentral:rRNA from 1 species
GAUGAACGCUGGCGGCGUGCCUAAUACAUGCAAGUCGAGCGAACGGACGAGAAGCUUGCUUCUCUGAUGUUAGCGGCGGACGGGUGAGUAACACGUGGAUAACCUACCUAUAAGACUGGGAUAACUUCGGGAAACCGGAGCUAAUACCGGAUAAUAUUUUGAACCGCAUGGUUCAAAAGUGAAAGACGGUCUUGCUGUCACUUAUAGAUGGAUCCGCGCUGCAUUAACUAGUUGGUAAGGUAACGGCUUACCAAGGCAACGAUGCAUAGCCGACCUGAGAGGGUGAUCGGCCACACGGGAACUGAGACACGGUCCAGACUCCUACGGGAGGCAGCAGUAGGGAAUCUUCCGCAAUGGGCGAAAGCCUGACGGAGCAACGACGCGUGAGUGAUGAAGGUCUUCGGAUCGUAAAACUCUGUUAUUAGGGAAGAACAUAUGUGUAAGUAACUGUGCACAUCUUGACGGUACAUAAUCAGAAAGCCACGGCUAACUACGUG